rnacentral:snRNA from 1 species
AUCGCUUCUCGGCCUUUUGGCUAAGAUCAAGUGUAGAAACAAAUUAGAGUAAACAUUUGAGAUUUUGUAAUUCAAAUACCAUUUCCCUUUCACCUUGUGAAUGAACCUAUAUUUUCCUUAGGGAAUUAUAUAUUCCCAAU